GACACGUAUCCAACCUGCCGAUGACUCGGGGAUAGCCUUUCGAAAGAAAGAUUAAUACCCGAUGGCAUAGUUCUUCCGCAUGGUGGAACUAUUAAAGAAUUUCGGUCAUCGAUGGGGAUGCGUUCCAUUAGGUUGUUGGCGGGGUAACGGCCCACCAAGCCUUCGAUGGAUAGGGGUUCUGAGAGGAAGGUCCCCCACAUUGGAACUGAGACACGGUCCAAACUCCUACGGGAGGCAGCAUG
rnacentral:rRNA from 1 species